AUCGUUCAUAUCACCACUUCGAAAAGAAAAAAAAAAACCUAACCCCCUCUUUUUAUCUGAUUACCCUCUGCUUUCCCGAAUCUAAAAUUAGCUCCGAUUGAUCUCUUCCUUGAUGAACUGCGAUGAGUCUCUCCGGCCACCGUCGCCCACGGUCCUCCGAGUCAGGUCCAGCAGCUGCAACGUAGAUGGAUGCCACCAGGUGCCAUACCGCCAAGCUCCAUACCGCCAGGAGCCACACGUUCUACAAGCGCAGCAUCUUCACACGCCAACAACUACAGCCAGCUAACUCUCGAUGCAUUGCUGAGUGCUCCUGAAAGAGAAUCCCAGCCACACCUCCACCCGAAGAAACUCAAUGGAGCUUUAUGGUUAGUUUGGAGACAAACUUCAAGACGCUCAACACCAAUGUUGCCGAUUUGAAUAAUAACAUGGGAAUGGUUAUGGAAGAGAUGUUUGCAUCACGACAAGCACUUAAUCUGAUCAUGUAGUGGAGUUAGACAACUCUCUGCUGCUGCUGCUGCUGCUGCUGCUACAACUUCUGCUGCUGCUCAUGCUCCAGCUUCUACAACAGCUGCUCCUGCCCCAGCUUCUACAACUUCUGCUCCUGCUCCUGCAUCAUUAGGUAUUUAAGUUUCGGUCAAUGAUAGUUAAGCUUUUUUGUUGAACUUUCUAACGAUAGACUUUUAUUUAGCAAGUCUUUUGGUAAAAUGUAAGACAAAACUACUUAAUACUUUUUGGUAAUAUGUAAACAUCAAACUAAUUAUGGUAAUGUAAAAUAUCGUUAUUUGGAUUUCAUGUUUUGUGA